UACGGAGGGUGCAAGCGUUAUCCGGAUUUACUGGGGUUAAAGGGUGUGUAGGCGGGCUAUUAAGUCAGUGGUGAAAUCUCCGGGCUCAACCUGGAAACUGCCAUUGAUACUAUUAGUCUUGAAUUCUGUUGAGGUGGGCGGAAUAAAUCAUGUAGCGGUGAAAUGUAUAGAUAUGAUUUAGAACACCAAUUGCGAAGGCAGCUCGCUAAACAGAUAUUGACGCUGAGGCACGAAAGCGUGGGGAUCAAACAGG
rnacentral:rRNA from 1 species